GGGGAAUUUUCCGCAAUGGGCGAAAGCCUGACGGAGCAAUACCGCGUGUGGGAGGAAGGCCCUUGGGUUGUAAACCACUUUUAUCAGGGAAGAAGCUCUGACGGUACCUGAUGAAUAAGCAUCGGCUAACUCCGUGCCAGCAGCCGCGGUAAUACGGAGGAUGCAAGCGUUAUCCGGAAUCAUUGGGCGUAAAGCGUCCGUAGGUGGUUUGUCAAGUCUGUCGUCAAAGAAUGGAGCUUAACUCCAUAAAGGCGGUGGAAACUGAGAGACUAGAGUUCGGUAGGGGUAGCGGGAAUUCCCAGUGUAGCGGUGAAAUGCGUAGAUAUUGGGAAGAAC
rnacentral:rRNA from 1 species